rnacentral:rRNA from 1 species
UACAGAGGCCCCAAGCGUUGUUCGGAUUCACUGGGCGUAAAGGGUGCGUAGGUGGCUUGGUAAGUUUGAUGUGAAAUCUCCGGGCCUUAACCCGGAAAUGGCAUUGAAUACUAUUGAGCUGGAGGUUUGGAGGGGGGACUGGAAUUCUCGGGUGUAGCAGUGAAAUGCGUAGAUAUCGAGAGGAACACCAGUGGCGAAGGCGAGUCCCUGGACAACACCUGACACUGAGGCACGAAAGCUAGGGGAGCAAACAGG